AUGGCUUCCUCCACGACGGAGCAGGAUCUGGGGCUGGAGCAGGAGCUGAAGGUGGUUCUGGAGGUGGUUGGUGCAGAAGACGGGGUGAAGCAACAGUCAGGCCAGGGGAGAGUGCAGGAAGAGGUUGGAGAAGAGUGUAGAGCUGCUGAGGCUGAAGCUGAGGCAACACUUCCGGUCUCAGGUGCCAGUUUUUCCCACCAGCAAGAACCAGUCUGGACUGACAAAAAAGAGGAGUGUCUGAACUGCCAGUGCCCAUCAGUUCCUACAGAGACCUCAGACCUUCAGCAGCUUUCAGACCAAACAGCACCACCCGUUGUGGAGCUCUCUAGCCCAACACAAAUACAAGACUGCCCACACCACCUGUGUCCUGAUCAAGAAACCUCAGAAGGAGGCCAAUAUGUCCCUUUAGAUGUUCCAGAACAUGACGAAACGGAGGAUAGAUCCAAUUUGAUUGGACCUAACCAGGAACAAGAAGUGAAACAAGCUCACCUGGAGGCUUUAGAAAGGGACCAAGAUCCAGAACCAAAGCAAGAGAACCAGGAGAACCCAAUAAACAUGUCAGACUCAGAGAAGAACGAGAACCAAGAGAGUCAAGUGUCUGAGCAUUGUGACUGGGAGGGAGCUGUCCCAAUUGUGAUGGUCACUAAUCUAGAGGAGGUGUCAGCAGAGAGGCAGGCAGAGGACGAGGCGGAAUCCGAAAAGCAGGAGGGCACCGUGCCCGCUGAUGUCAGCCCCUCUGCCAGUCCCAGUGACGUCACGGAGUUCAGCAGCGGUGACUUGCAGUUCCUGAAGAGCGACAGUGUGUCUCUCUGCAGUGAAACAACCAUCUCUGGCAAGAGUGAUGAACAAGAAGGGCCUGAAGAAGACACCAGGAGUGUAGCUGCGUCCUCUGUCAUGGAAGGCCCUGAGGAAGACACCAGGAGUGUUACAUCAUCCUCUGUCAUGUCUCUGUUCCAGAGGAUGCAGAUGGACCCUCUGGAGCGGGAAUGGUUACGGUGUGCUGCAUUAGGAAAUGCUCCUGGCCUGCGCCAGCUUCUGCUCCAGGACCCCUCCCUGGCCCCCAAAAAGGUGAAGCCCCCUUCAACCCCCCUUCCUUUUCUGCAGACCCCACCAGAAACAGUAAUGCCUUCUAU
rnacentral:lncRNA from 1 species